CACGUGAGAAAUCUGCCUCCCAAAGGGGAAUAACCCACCGAAAGGUGGGCUAAUGCCCCGUACUAUCCCUAGAAGGCAUCUUCAGGGGAUGAAAGGCUUCGGCCGUUGGGAGAGGAUCUUGCGGCCUAUCAGCUAGUUGGCGGGGUAAUGGCCCACCAAGGCGACGACGGGUAGCCGGACUGAAAGGUCGAUCGGCCACAAGGGCACUGAGACACGGGCCCUACUCCUACGGGAGGCAGCAGUGGGGAAUUUUGGACAAUGGGGGAAACCCUGAUCCAGCAACUCUGCGUGGAGGAUGAAGGUCUUCGGAUCGUAAACUCCUUUUGUCCCUGACGAACACCCGCAAGGGUCUGACGGUAAGGGAUGAAUAAGCCACGGCUAACUUCGUGCCAGCAGCCGCGGUAAGACGAAGGUGGCGAGCGUUAUUCGGAAUCACUAGGCGUAAAGCGCGUGUAGGUGGGUGCUUAAGUCCGUCGUGA
rnacentral:rRNA from 1 species